AUCUACGGUCAUCGAAUUCACAAAAUACCGCAUCCCGUUAGCUCUGCGCAGUCAAGUUGAAUGUCGCUCGGUCAGUACCAAGGUCGGGGACGACUUGGGAAUCCCGAGUACUGUAGUUG
rfam:Cryptococcus bestiolae CBS 10118 unplaced genomic scaffold supercont1.1, whole genome shotgun sequence.